rnacentral:rRNA from 1 species
AUUGAACGCUGGCGGCAUGCUUUACACAUGCAAGUCGAACGGUAACAGGCCGCAAGGUGCUGACGAGUGGCGAACGGGUGAGUAAUGCAUCGGAACGUGCCCAGUCGUGGGGGACAACGCAGCGAAAGCUGUGCUAAUACCGCAUACGAUCGAUGGAUGAAAGCGGGGGACCGUAAGGCCUCGCGCGAUUGGAGCGGCCGAUGUCAGAUUAGGUAGUUGGUGGGGUAAAGGCUCACCAAGCCAACGAUCUGUAGCUGGUCUGAGAGGACGACCAGCCACACUGGGACUGAGACACGGCCCAGACUCCUACGGGAGGCGGCAGUGGGGAAUUUUGGACAAUGGGCGCAAGCCUGAUCCAGCAAUGCCGCGUGCAGGAAGAAGGCCUUCGGGUUGUAAACUGCUUUUGUACGGAACGAAAAGGUUUGGGUUAAUACCCUGGGCCGAUGACGGUACCGUAAGAAUAAGCACCGGCUAACUACGUGCCAGCAGCCGCAGUAAGAC